UAAUACAUGCAAGUCGAGCGAGCUUGCCUAGAUGAAUUUGGUGCUUGCACCAGAUGAAACUAGAUACAAGCGAGCGGCGGACGGGUGAGUAACACGUGGGUAACCUGCCCAAGAGACUGGGAUAACACCUGGAAACAGAUGCUAAUACCGGAUAACAACACUAGACGCAUGUCUAGAGUUUAAAAGAUGGUUCUGCUAUCACUCUUGGAUGGACCUGCGGUGCAUUAGCUAGUUGGUAAGGUAACGGCUUACCAAGGCAAUGAUGCAUAGCCGAGUUGAGAGACUGAUCGGCCACAUUGGGACUGAGACACGGCCCAAACUCCUACGGGAGGCAGCAGUAGGGAAUCUUCCACAAUGGACGCAAGUCUGAUGGAGCAACGCCGCGUGAGUGAAGAAGGGUUUCGGCUCGUAAAGCUCUGUUGGUAGUGAAGAAAGAUAGAGGUAGUAACUGGCCUUUAUUUGACGGUAAUUACUUAGAAAGUCACGGCUAACUACGUGCCAGCAGCCGCGGUAAUACGUAGGUGGCAAGCGUUGUCCGGAUUUAUUGGGCGUAAAGCGAGUGCAGGCGGUUCAAUAAGUCUGAUGUGAAAGCCUUCGGCUCAACCGGAGAAUUGCAUCAGAAACUGUUGAACUUGAGUGCAGAAGAGGAGAGUGGAACUCCAUGUGUAGCGGUGGAAUGCGUAGAUAUAUGGAAGAACACCAGUGGCGAAGGCGGCUCUCUGGUCUGCAACUGACGCUGA
rnacentral:rRNA from 1 species